GCCGGGAUGCGGAAACUGGUAGACCGGGCGCUCUCAAAAGGCGCUGCCCGAAAGGGCGUGAGGGUUCGAGUCCCUCUCCCGGCA
rnacentral:tRNA from 1 species